AGGAAUCUUGCGCAAUGGGCGAAAGCCUGACGCAGCCAUGCCGCGUGAAUGAUGAAGGUCUUAGGAUUGUAAAAUUCUUUCAGCGGGGACGAUAAUGACGGUACCCGCAGAAGAAGCUCCGGCUAACUUCGUGCCAGCAGCCGCGGUAAUACGAAGGGGGCUAGCGUUGCUCGGAAUUACUGGGCGUAAAGGGCGCGUAGGCGGACAUUUAAGUCAGAGGUGAAAGCCCAGGGCUCAACCUUGGAACUGCCUUUGAUACUGGGUGUCUAGAGUGCGGGAGAGGUGUGUGGAACUCCGAGUGUAGAGGUGAAAUUCGUAGAUAUUCGGAAGAACACCAGUGGCGAAGGCGACACACUGGCCCGUAACUGACGCUGAGGCGCGAAAGCGUGGGGAGCAAACA
rnacentral:rRNA from 1 species